rnacentral:rRNA from 1 species
UGGGGAAUAUUGGGCAAUGGGCGCAAGCCUGACCCAGCAACGCCGCGUGAGGGAAGAAGGCCUUCGGGUUGUAAACCUCUGUCCUUGGGGACGAAAGAGAUGACGGUACCCAAGGAGGAAGCUCCGGCUAACUACGUGCCAGCAGCCGCGGUAAUACGUAGGGAGCGAGCGUUGUCCGGAAUUACUGGGCGUAAAGGGUGCGUAGGCGGCAUGGCAAGUCAGAUGUGAAAUCCCCGGGCUUAACUCGGGUGCUGCAUUUGAAACUGCUGUGCUUGAGUGCAGGAGAGGAAAGCGGAAUUCCUAGUGUAGCGGUGAAAUGCGUAGAUAUUAGGAGGAACAUCAGUGGCGAAGGCGGCUUUCUGGACUGUAACUGACGCUGAGGCACGAAAGCGUGGGGAGCAAACAG